rnacentral:rRNA from 1 species
AGUGAACGCUGGCGGUAGGCCUAACACAUGCAAGUCGAACGGCAGCACAGUAAGAGCUUGCUCUUACGGGUGGCGAGUGGCGGACGGGUGAGGAAUACAUCGGAAUCUACUUUUUCGUGGGGGAUAACGUAGGGAAACUUACGCUACUACCUCAUACGACCUACGGGUUAAUUCAGUGGAUCUUCGGACCUUGCGCGAUUGAAUGCGCCGACGACGGAUUAGCUAGUUGGCGGGGUAAAGGCCCACCAAGUCGACGAUCCGUAUCUGAUCUGAGAGGGUGAGAGGACAAACUGGAAAGAAGACAAGGUCGAGACGCAGACGGGAGGCAGCAGUAGGGAAUAGUACAAAAUGGGAGGAAGCCUGACGUAGCAAAGCAGAGUGAGUGAGGAAGGUAUUCGGAUCGUAAAGCUCUGUUAUUAGGGAAGAAAAAAUGGGUAAGUAACAAUGCACGUCUUGACGGUACCUAAUCAGAAAGCAAAGGCUAACUACGUG